rnacentral:lncRNA from 1 species
CCGGAAUGCAGUGGUGCAAUCCUAGCUUACCAGUCUUGGACUCCUGGACUGAAGUAACCCUUCUACCUUAGCAUCUGGCUAAUUUUAAUUUUUUUUUUUUAGUAGAGAUAGGGUUUCCCUUUGUCACUUAGGCUGGUCUUGAACUCCUGGCUUCAAGUGAUCCUCCUGCUUCGGCCUCCUGAAGUACUGGUAUUACAGGCAUGAGCCACUGUACCUGACCCUUUUUUUCUUGUUUUUGAGACAGGGUCCGUCUCACUCGGUUGCCCAGGCUGGAGUACAGUGGUGUGAUUGCAGUUCACUGCAGCCUUAAACUCCUGGGCUCAAGCAAUCCUCCCAUCUUACCCCUCCAAAUAUCUGGGACUACAGAUGUGCACCACUAUGCGUGGCUAAUUUUUUUAAAACAAAUUUUGUAGCAGUAGGGUCUCACUAUGUUGCCCAGGCAGGCCUCAAACCCUUGGCCUCAAGCUAUCCUCCCACCUUGGCCUCCCAAAGUGCUGGGAUUACAGUGUGAGCCAUUGCACCAGGCCUGAUAAGGUGAUAUUUGAGCAGAGAUAUUUAAAAAGUGAGAGAGACAGCCAUGUGGUUAUCUACAGUCCAAUAUACUCCAGCCUAAGGGACUAAGGGGGAACAUGCUUGGUGUGUGUAACAUGGAGGAAGCCAGCUGUGGCUAAGUGGCAUGAACAAGAAGGUGUGGUAGGUGCAGAGGGUGUAGGUGCAGCAGGUAGUAGGUGCAGAUGAUGUAGGUGCAGUGGAUGUAGGUUCAGAGGGUGUAGAUGCGGAGGAUGUAGGUGCAGAGGGUGUAGGUGCAGAUGAUGUAGGUGCAGCAGAUAGUAGGCGCAGAUAGUGUAGGUGCAGACGGUGUAGGUGCAGCGGAUGUAGAUGCAGAAAGUAUAGGUGCAGGGGGUGUAGAUGCAGUGGAUGUAAGUAGUGCAGAGGGUGCAGGUACAGAGGGUGUAGGUGCAGAGGGUGUAGGUGCAGUGGAUGUAAGUAGUGCAGAGGGUGCAGGUGCAGAGGGUGUAGGUGCAGUGGAUGUAAGUAGUGCAGAGGGUGCAGGUGUAAAGGGUGUAGGUGCAGAGGGUGUAGGUACAAAGGGUGUAGGUGCAGAGGGUGUAGGCACAGAGGGUGUAGGUGCAGUGGGGACCCAAUCAUUCAGCACCUUUACAGAAGUAAUGGGACAUGGGAUACAUUUGGAAGAUAGAGCAGACAGCAUUUGCUGACUAAAUAUGGAAUUCAGCAGGCAGGGGUAGGGGGAGAAGGCAGAGUCCAAAGUGACGCCAAAAGCCUCUAGACAGCACUGGAAAGACAUAGAUGCCAUUAUCUGAAAUGGGAAAGAUUUUGGAAGGAGCAAAUCAGAGAUAACCUCAGGAG